CCUUCGAUAGCUCAGUUGGAAGAGCGUGGGACUGUAAUGGAUACGCAAAUCAUCCCAAGGUCACUGGUUCGACCCCGGUUCGAAGGA
rnacentral:tRNA from 1 species